UACGUAGGUGGCAAGCGUUGUCCGGAAUUAUUGGGCGUAAAGCGCGCGCAGGUGGUUCCUUAAGUCUGAUGUGAAAGCCCACGGCUCAACCGUGGAGGGUCAUUGGAAACUGGGGAACUUGAGUGCAGAAGAGGAAAGUGGAAUUCCAAGUGUAGCGGUGAAAUGCGUAGAGAUUUGGAGGAACACCAGUGGCGAAGGCGACUUCCUGGUCUGUAACUGACACUGAGGCGCGAAAGCGUGGGGAGCAAACAGG
rnacentral:rRNA from 1 species